rnacentral:rRNA from 1 species
CGGCGGACGGGUGAGUAACGCGUGGGUAACCUGCCUCAUACAGGGGGAUAACAGUUGGAAACGACUGCUAAUACCGCAUAAGCGCACAGUACCGCAUGGUACAGUGUGAAAAACUCAGGUGGUAUGAGAUGGACCCGCGUCUGAUUAGCUAGUUGGUGGGGUAACGGCCUACCAAGGCGACGAUCAGUAGCCGACCUGAGAGGGUGACCGGCCACAUUGGGACUGAGACACGGCCCAA